CGCGACCCCAGGUCAGGCGGGGUUACCCGCUGA
rnacentral:rRNA from 1 species